UCCCUGGUAGUCCAGUGGUUAAGACUUUGCACUUUCACAGCAGGGGGUGAGGGUUCAAUUCCUGAUUGGGGAA
rnacentral:tRNA from 1 species